AUUUUGAGCUGGAUUUCUGUUGGUUUCAUCACAAACCAUCCCAAUUUAAAUGUAGCUCUAGUGGACCACAAUAUUCACUUUUAUUCAAUCUCCUGCCCAUUCCAAACUUCACCUCUUCACCAAAACUCCAGAAAAACACCCAGUUCUGGCUAAGAUCACCAGGGAAUUUUUGCUAACUCCCAGGCUGGUGAUGGAAUUUCAUUCUUUUGACUUCUAGAUUGCCUGUGAAGAGCUGCUUCCUCAGAAGAGCACCCAAAGGCUGGGUGGCCACUAUCCUUUGCCUUGGCAGAGCCAGCCAGUGGGCCUAGGCAAAACCCGCUGUGUUUGCUGACAGCCAACCUACCCUGGAGUUCUGGAGUGGCUUCCUAGGAAGACUGGGGAGCGGUAGAAAGAUGGCUCUGCUGAGAUGAGCUCUUAAUUAAUGCACUGAGAGCCUGCGAGUCCCACCUCUCAACAGGAAUGAUUGACGUCCAAGGAUACAUAAAUUACACUAAUUGAGCUCUGCCUCUAUAUAAGCUUUCCACAUCCAACUCAUCAGAGAAGCUAGGCUUGUACCACAACCAAUACCCUUGCUUGGCAACUCUAAUGAGCAAACUGCCACAAAAUUGAGAGAGAACACACCUUUUUGAUUUCCUGCUCUUCUAAGACACAGUGAUUUAGAAUUUCUGUUCAAGCAAGAGAACUAAAGACUUCUUUAAAGAAGAGAAG